GCACUCACACCUGAAGAUGCCAUCUCAACAACUCCACCACUAUCCAGCAGUCAGCUACCAACAUCCAGCACAUACCCUGAAACACCUGAGCAGCCCUCAGCUGUUAUGGAGAAGCCAAAAGAGAUCACUACACCGCCAGGCACUUCGGCACUCACACCUGAAGAUGCCAUCUCAACAACUCCACCACUAACCAGCAGUCAGCUACCAACAUCCAACACAGACCAUGAAACACCUGAGGAGCCCUCGCCUGUUACGGAGAAGCCAAAAGAUCCCACCAGAGUCAUCAUGAGAGUGAGAGGCUUCCUGCACACAAACACGGGAGAGGAGGCAGUACUGGAGGCCUUAAGGAAACUGGUCUCUCUUCUAGAGAACAAACUGAAGGAUCACUGUACUGACUGCACAGUACAGAUUCUGAAGCACAACAUGACCACAAAUUAUCCUUAAAUGAUCCCUGUUAUAAACAUGGUGUGAAGAGACUGUAACACACAAUGCACAUUAAUAAACAGUACCGACGGUAAGGAAGUUUGAUUAUU
rnacentral:lncRNA from 1 species